rnacentral:rRNA from 1 species
UACGGAGGGGGCGAGCGUUAUUCGGAAUUAUUGGGCGUAACGGGCGCGUAGGCGGCUGUACAAGUCAAAGGUGAAAUCCCUCGGCUCAACUGAGGAACUGCCUUUGAAACUGUACGGCUUGAGGCCGGGAGGGGGUAGCGGAAUUCCCAGUGUAGCGGUGAAAUGCGUAGAUACUGGGAGGAACACCAGUGGCGAAGGCGGCUACCUGGACCGGUUCUGACGCUGAGGCGCGAAAGCGUGGGUAGCAAACAGG